GCCGCCGGAGCGGGCCCGGAUCGAACUCCUAAAGCGGGUGUCGCAGGUUCGAAUCCUGCCGGGGGCA
rnacentral:tRNA from 1 species